ensembl:lncRNA
CUCUUAUAGAGCAAUAACAGUCCCAUAGAGAGACAAGGAGAAGGAGGAAGAGGGUUGUGAGAGAGGAAGAAGCUUCACACAUCAAUUAAGAGCCUGACAGACCCUAAAGAGUUGCGAUGAAGAGCAGAACCUCACUUUUUAUAAAGUUGAAAAGCAAAGUAAAUGUAAGAAAAGUAAAGAAGAAAAGAAUUGCAAGGUAUGAACUCGGAAUUGUGAGAUAUGAACUCGGAAUUGCGAGGUAUGAACUCCGAAUUGUGAGAUAUGAACUCGGAAUUGUGAGGUAUUAACUCGGAAUUGCGAGGUAUGAACUCGGAGUUGUGAGGUAUGAACUCGGAGUUGUGAGGUAUGAACUCGGAGUUGCGAGGUAUGAACUCGGAGUUGUGAGGUAUGAACUCGGAAUUGUGAGGUAUGAACUCGGAAUUGCGGGGUAUGAACCCGGAAUUGUGAAAUAAUAAAUUUGGAAUUGCGAGGUAUGAACUCGGCGUU